GGAGGUGUCAGCUGAGGGUGCCACAGAGAUGGUUCCGGGGCACGCGCUGGGCAGCCCCCGCCUUCCAGAGAACGGCGGCUCCUCUUGCCCUCCUCAGAAGAAGGCUUUCGUCGUUCCCGCCGCCCACCAGCGCCUGGGGCUUCUUCGAUGUCUCCAUCCUCCAAUUUCAGGGCGUUCUAGCAGAGGCGGACCAGGAUGUAAGAAAGUGGUUAACGUGUAUGCAGGUGGGGUGGGGCGCUGGGGACUGCGCUUCUCUCUUCCCUCCUUCCAAUCCCCCUCAGAGCGUAAGGCCCGGCCCACCUCGUAGAGCACAAGCUGCGUGCGCAGGUCGACGUCAGUGCCCGCAGUGCCCAGGUGGCGCUGGACCAGCGCUUCCAUGCCCUGCUGCUCCAGUGCAUCCGUCACAUCGUAGAAGGAGUCCUGGUCCGGGAGCGCCGCCAGCGUCUGGAGGGCGGGGAUAAGAAGGCAAGGCUGAGGUUGGUGGGGAGGUCAGGAGCCUGAGCAUCCCAGAGCUGGCACCCAGUCCUUGGCCACACCUUGUUGAUGAGGGUGACCGUGUACACCAACAACUCAGGGUCAGCGCCAUUCUUCUCCUCCAGGAUGGACACCAGAUU
rnacentral:lncRNA from 1 species